rnacentral:rRNA from 1 species
AUUGAACGCUGGCGGCAGGCCUAACACAUGCAAGUCGAACGAGUGGCGGACGGGUGAGUAAUGUCUGGGAAACUGCCCGAUGGAGGGGGAUAACUACUGGAAACGGUAGCUAAUACCGCAUACCAUCAGAUGUGCCCCGAUGGGAUUAGCUAGUUGGUGGGGUAACGGCUCACCAAGGCGACGAUCCCUAGCUGGGCUGAGAGGAUGACCAGCCAAACUGGAACUGAGAAACGGUCCAGACUCCUCCGGGAGGCAGCAGUGGGGAAUAUUGCACAAUGGGCGAAAGCCUGAUGCAGCCAUGCCGCGUGUAUGAAGAAGGCCUUCGGGUGGUAAAGUACUUUCAGCGGGGAGGCGGUACCCGCAGAAGAAGCACCGGCUAACUCCGUGCCAGCAGCCGCGGUAAUUC